rnacentral:rRNA from 1 species
UACGUAGGAUGCAAGCGUUGUCCGGAAUUAUUGGGCGUAAAGAGCGCGCAGGCGGUAUGACAAGUCAGAUGUGAAAGAGGCCGGCUUAACCGGCAAGGGUCAUUUGAAACUGUCAGACUAGAGUGCAGCAGAGGAUAGUGGAAUUCCCGGUGUAGUGGUGAAAUGCGUAGAUAUCGGGAGGAACACCAGUAGCGAAGGCGGCACUCUGGGCCGGUACUGACGCUGAGGAGCGAAAGCGUGGGGAGCAAACAGG